AUUGAACGCUGGCGGCAGGCCUAACACAUGCAAGUCGAACGAGUGGCGGACGGGUGAGGAAUGUCUGGGAAACUGCCUGAUGGAGGGGGAUAACUACUGGAACCGGUAGCUAAUACCGCAUACCAUCAGAUGUGCCCAGAUGGGAUUUGCUAGUUGGUGGGGUAACGGCUCACCAAGGCGACGAUCCCUAGCUGGUCUGAGAGGAUGACCAGCCACACGGGAACUGAGACCCGGGCCAGACUCCUACGGUAGGCAGCAGUGGGGAAUAUUGCACAAGGGGCGCAAGCCGGAGGCAGCCAUGCCGCGUGUAUGAAGAAGGCCUGCGGGUUGUAAAGUACUUUCGGCGGGGAGGCGUUACCCGCAGAAGAAGCACCGGCUAACUCCGUGCCAGCCGCCGCGGUAAUUC
rnacentral:rRNA from 1 species